AUUGUGAAGGGCAGGAUGCAGUCAGAGCUUUUUGAUGUUUCAGCAAGAGGAGGAGCUCCACAACUGAAUAUGAAAGGCUUCAUGUUGGAAGUGAAGAGCUGCUGUGUUCUCUCUAUUGUUCAUUCAGUACAAGUGGAAAUGAUGCAGCUCUGCUUAGUUUGGAUGAUCAUCUUCAUGUUUCACACUGGAUCCUCUGAGGAUUUAGUGAAACCAUUUAAAGAUGUAAUGCUGGCUUUGGAAGGAGACUCUGUGACUCUCUCCUGCAACUAUUCAGGCUCCGUCCUCUACCUCUACUGGUAUCAACAGAAGUCCAGUUCAUCUCCACAGUUUCUCAUUGCAGAUUUUUCAGAGAAUAUAGCACGGUGGACCUUUAAACAUAACAAAACAGCAAAGGAGUUUCAUCUGCAGAUCUCCUCUGCUGCAGUGACAGACUCUGCUGUGUACUACUGUGCUGUGAAGCCCACAGUGACAGGAAACACCAAAACUCUGUACAAUAACCUUUGGAGCAAAGACAACAGAAUACUCCACAACGUCCACUAGAGGGAGUCACACACUGUUAAACUUUCAGAGAGAAUCACACAACAAAUACUCAAACUUCUAAAAGCUGAGAGACAAACACCAAGGACGUCCUCUCUCUCCACUGCUGUUUUAUUCCUAAAAUAUAAACUGGCUCAUCCAACCUGACAUUUUGGCUCUGAGGACAAACAAGAAAUGACUAAUUAAUCACUUUUAUUCACUCAUAGCAUAUUUCUCUGUGUAUUUACUGUGUUGCUGAAUGAUGUUCAAAAUGUGACAGAACAGUUUUUAACUAAUUUCUCAUCAAAUGCUCCGUAUUUGUAUAGCACCUUUCUAGUUUAGUC